GUUGUGUUGGUAAGUGCGACUGCAGCAUAAAACAAUCUAGCGGAGAAAUGAAACAAACACUAUUCAGGAAAGAUGUCUAACAUGUGGACUUUCAUUUUUGUUUUGGUUGCAAUAAUCGCGGGAGCAUAUUCCCGAUAUAUCCCAGACUUUGACACAACCCACCGUCUUCAAGUAGAAAAAGGGCGAUAUGUGGAAAUAGAAUUGGGGCUUUAUUUGCCCCCUGACUUACCUGGAGCACCUUGUGCUGAUGAGGAAUAUCUUGAGAUCCGUGAUGGGUAUAAUCAGUCUGGAAAUCUUUUGGGUGUAUUUUGUGGAAGAUACGUUCCUCGCUUUAAACUACGUUCCAGUGGACAGAACAUGUGGUUAAGAUUUUCACCUCACCGUAGAUACCGGCUAUG